GUCUACAGCCAUACCACCCUGAACGCACCCGAUCUCGUCUAAUCUCGGAAGCUAAGCAGGGUCGGGCCUGGUUAGUACUUGGAUGAGAGAUAGAGCCUCAAGCUGUCCCCC
ensembl:rRNA 5S_rRNA 5S ribosomal RNA